GCAUAUCAAUAAGCGGAGGAAAAGAAACCAACAGGGAUUGCCUUAGUAACGGCGAGUGAAGCGGCAACAGCUCAAAUUUGAAAUCUGGCCUCUUUGGGGUCCGAGUUGUAAUUUGGAGAGGAUGUUUCGGGUACGGUCCGGGCUUAUAUUUCUUGGAACAGAAUGUCAUAGAGGGUGAGAAUCCCGUCUGGAGUCCGGACACGGCCUAUGUGAAACUCCUUCGACGAGUCGAGUUGUUUGGGAAUGCAGCUCUAAAUGGGUGGUAAAUUUCAUCUAAAGCUAAAUAUUGGCCAGAGACCGAUAGCGCACAAGUAGAGUGAUCGAAAGAUGAAAAGCACUUUGAAAAGAGAGUUAAAAAGUACGUGAAAUUGUUGAAAGGGAAGCGCUGGCAACCAGACUUGCACGUCGGGGUUCCCCCUUGCUUUUGCCUGGGUUACUCCCCGGCGUUCAGGCCAACAUCGGUUUCGGGGGUUGGUUAAAGGCCUUAGGAAUGUACUUACCCUCCGGGGUAAACUUAUAGCCUAGGGUGUCAUGCGACCUCCCGGGACCGAGGAACGCGCUUCGGCUCGGAUGUUGGCGUAAUGGUUGUCAGCGACCCGUCUUGAAACACGGACCAAGGAGUCUAACAUCUAUGCGAGUGUUAGGGUGUCAAAAACCCUUACGCGGAAUGAAAGUGAACGGAGGUAGGAAGCCGUUAGGCUGCACUAUCGACCGAUCCUGAAGUUUACGGAUGGAUUUGAGUAAGAGCAUAGCUGUUGGGACCCGAAAGAUGGUGAACUAUGCCUGAAUAGGGUGAAGCCAGAGGAAACUCUGGUGGAGGCUCGCAGCGGUUCUGACGUGCAAAUCGAUCGUCAAAUUUGGGUAUAGGGGCGAAAGACUAAUCGAACCAUYUGGUAGCUGGUUCCUGCG
rnacentral:rRNA from 1 species